rnacentral:ncRNA from 1 species
CUAGCGAUACAGAUGUAUCGUAGUAACAACGAAUAGACAGAAGUCAGCCGAGGUCAUAGUAGGGAAAACGUACCGAAGGAC